UACGUAGGUGACAAGCGUUCUCCGGAUUUAUUGGGCGUAAAGCGCACGUAGGCGGUUUGUUAAGUCGGAUGUGAAAUCCCUCGGCUCAACUGAGGAAGUGCAUCCGAAACUGGCAAGCUUGAGUACGAAAGAGGGUCGCGGAAUUCCCGGUGUAGAGGUGAAAUUCGUAGAUAUCGGGAGGAACACCGGUGGCGAAGGCGGCGACCUGGGUCGAUACUGACGCUGAGGUGCGAAAGCGUGGGGAGCAAACAGG
rnacentral:rRNA from 1 species